rnacentral:rRNA from 1 species
GAUGAACGCUGGCGGCGUGCCUAAUACAUGCAAGUCGAGCGAACGGACGAGAAGCUUGCUUCUCUGAUGUUAGCGGCGGACGGGUGAGUAACACGUGGAUAACCUACCUAUAAGACUGGGAUAACUUCGGGAAACCGGAGCUAAUACCGGAUAAUAUUUUGAACCGCAUGGUUCAAAAGUGAAAGACGGUCUUGCCGUCACUUAUAGAUGGAUCCGCGCUGCAUUAGCUAGUUGGUAAGGUAACGGCUUACCAAGGCAACGAUGCAUAGCCGACCUGAGAGGGAGAUCGGCCACACUGGAACUGAGACACGGUCCAGACUCCUACGGGAGGCAGCAGUAGGGAAUCUUCCGCAAUGGGCGAAAGCCUGACGGAGCAACGCCGCGUGAGUGAUGAAGGUCUUCGGAUCGUAAAACUCUGUUAUUAGGGAAGAACAUAUGUGUAAGUAACUGUGCACAUCUUGACGGUACCUAAUCAGAAAGCCACGGCUAACUACGUG